rnacentral:rRNA from 1 species
CAACGCGAAGAACCUUACCUGGUCUUGACAUCCACAGAACUUUCCAGAGAUGGAUUGGUGCCUUCGGGAACUGUGAGACAGGUGCUGCAUGGCUGUCGUCAGCUCGUGUUGUGAAAUGUUGGGUUAAGUCCCGCAACGAGCGCAACCCUUAUCCUUUGUUGCCAGCGAUUAGGUCGGGAACUCAAAGGAGACUGCCAGUGAUAAACUGGAGGAAGGUGGGGAUGACGUCAAGUCAUCAUGGCCCUUACGACCAGGGCUACACACGUGCUACAAUGGCGCAUACAAAGAGAAGCGACCUCGCGAGAGCAAGCGGACCUCAUAAAGUGCGUCGUAGUCCGGAUUGGAGUCUGCAACUCGACUCCAUGAAGUCGGAAUCGCUAGUAAUCGUGGAUCAGAAUGCCACGGUGAAUACGUUCCCGGGCCUUGUACACACCGCCCGUCACACCAUGGGAGUGGGUUGCAAAAGAAGUAGGUAGCUUAACCUUCGGGAGGGCGCUUACCACUUUGUGAUUCAUGACUGGGGUGAAGUCGUAACAAGGUAACCGUAGGGGAACCUGC